rnacentral:rRNA from 1 species
GAUGAACGCUGGCGGCGUGCUUAACACAUGCAAGUCGAACGGAAAGGCGCUGCUUUUGCGGGGUGCUCGAGUGGCGCAGGGGUGAGUAACACGUGAGUAACCUGCCCUUGACUUUGGGAUAACUUCAGGAAACUGGGGCUAAUACAGGAUAGGAGAUCCUGCAGCAUGGUGGGGGUUGGAAAGUUUCGGCGGUUUGGGAUAGACGCGCGGCUUAUCAGCUUGUUGGUGGCGUAGUUGCUUACCAAGUCUUUGACGGAUAGCCGACCUGAGAGGGGGACCGGGCACAAUGGUACUGCGAGACGGCCCAGUCUGCUACGUGAGGCAGCGGGCGGGAAUAUGGCACAGUGGGCGGAAGCCUGAGGCGACAACGCUGCGAUCGUGAUGCCGUCCUUCUUGUUGUGAACCGCUGUCGCCUGUGACGAAGCGUGAGUGACGGUAAUGAGUAAAGAAGCACCGGCUAACUACGUG